rnacentral:rRNA from 1 species
UAACACCUGGGAAACAGAUGCUAAUACCCGGAUAACAACAGAUGAUGCCUAUCAACUGUUUAAAAAGAUGGGUUCUGCUAUCACUCUUGGGAUGGGACCCUGCGGUGCAUUUAGCUAGUUGGUAGGGUAACGGGCUACCAAGGCGAUGAUGCAUAGCCCGAGUUGAGAGACUGAUCGGGCCACAUUGGGGACUGAGACACGGGCCCAAAACUCCUACGGGGAGGCAGCAGUAGGGAAUCUUCCACAAUGGACGCAAGUCUGAUGGAGCAACGCCGCGUGAGUGAAGUAAGGGUUUCGGCUACGUAAAGCUCUGUUGUUGGUGAAGAAGGACAGGGUAGUAACUGACCUUUGUUUGACGGUAAUCAAUUAGAAAGUCACGGCUAACUACGUGCCAGCAGCCGCGGUAAU